UACGGAGGGUCCAAGCGUUAUCCGGAAUCAUUGGGUUUAAAGGGUCCGUAGGCGGCUUUGUAAGUCAGUGGUGAAAGCCCAUCGCUCAACGGUGGAACGGCCAUUGAUACUGCAAGACUUGAAUUAUUAGGAAGUAACUAGAAUAUGUAGUGUAGCGGUGAAAUGCUUAGAGAUUACAUGGAAUACCAAUUGCGAAGGCAGGUUACUACUAAUGGAUUGACGCUGAUGGACGAAAGCGUGGGUAGCGAACAGG
rnacentral:rRNA from 1 species